GACGAACGCUGGCGGCAUGCCUAAUACAUGCAAGUCGAGCGAACAGAUGGAGUGCUUGCACUUCUGACGUUAGCGGCGAACGGGUGAGUAACACGUAAGGAAUCUACCUAUAAGCGGGGGAUAACAUUCGGAAACGGGUGCUAAUACCGCAUAAUAUCUUCUUCCGCAUGGAAGAAGAUUGAAAGACGGCUCUGCUGUCACUUAUAGAUGACCUUGCGGUGCAUUAGUUAGUUGGUGGGGUAACGGCCUACCAAGACGAUGAUGCAUAGCCGACCUGAGAGGGUGAACGGCCACAUUGGGACUGAGACACGGCCCAAACUCCUGCGGGAGGCAGCAGUAGGGAAUCUUCCGCAAUGGGCGAAAGCCUGACGGAGCAAUGCCGCGUGAGUGAAGAAGGCCUUCGGGUCGUAAAACUCUGUUAUAAGAGAAGAACAAAUUGUAGAGUAACUGCUACAGUCUUGACGGUAUCUUAUCAGAAAGCCACGGCUAACUACGUGCCAGCCGCCGCCGUAA
rnacentral:rRNA from 1 species